GGGAAUCUACCGUGCCCUGCGGAAUAGCUCCGGGAAACUGGAAUUAAUACCGCAUACGCCCUACGGGGGAAAGAUUUAUCGGGGUAUGAUGAGCCCGCGUUGGAUUAGCUAGUUGGUGGGGUAAAGGCCUACCAAGGCGACGAUCCUUAGCUGGUCUGAGAGGAUGAUCAGCCACAUUGGGACUGAGACACGGCCCAAACUCCUACGGGAGGCAGCAGUGGGGAAUAUUGGACAAUGGGCGCAAGCCUGAUCCAGCCAUGCCGCGUGAGUGAUGAAGGCCUUAGGGUUGUAAAGCUCUUUCACCGGUGAAGAUAAUGACGGUAACCGGAGAAGAAGCCCCGGCUAACUUCGUGCCAGCAGCCGCGGUAAUACGAAGGGGGCUAGCGUUGUUCGGAAUUACUGGGCGUAAAGCGCACGUAGGCGGAUACUUAAGUCAGGGGUGAAAUCCCAGAGCUCAACUCUGGAACUGCCUUUGAUACUGGGUAUCUUGAGUAUGGAAGAGGUAAGUGGAAUUGCGAGU
rnacentral:rRNA from 1 species